UACGUAGGGUGCGAGCGUUAAUCGGAAUUACUGGGCGUAAAGCGUGCGUAGGUGGUUUGUUAAGUCUGCUGUGAAAGCCCCGGGCUCAACCUGGGAAUGGCAGUGGAUACUGGCAAGCUAGAGUGCGGUAGAGGGUAGUGGAAUUCCCGGUGUAGCGGUGAAAUGCGUAGAGAUCGGGAAGAACACCAGUGGCGAAGGCGGCUACCUGGACCAGCACUGACACUGAGGCACGAAAGCGUGGGGAGCAAACAGG
rnacentral:rRNA from 1 species